CGUAGGGAGCAAGCGUUGUUCGGAUUUACUGGGCGUAAAGGGCGCGUAGGCGGCGCGACAAGUCACUUGUGAAAUCUCCGGGCUUAACUCGGAACGGUCAAGUGAAACUGUCAUGCUAGAGUGCAGAAGGGGCAAUCGGAAUUCUUGGUGUAGCGGUGAAAUGCGUAGAUAUCAAGAGGAACACCUGAGGUGAAGACGGGUUGCUGGGCUGACACUGACGCUGAGGCGCGAAAGCCAGGGGAGCAAACGGG
rnacentral:rRNA from 1 species